AUUGAACGCUGGCGGCAGGCCUAACACAUGCAAGUCGAACGAGUGGCGGACGGGUGAGUAAUGUCUGGGAAACUGCCUGAUGGAGGGGGAUAACUACUGGAAACGGUAGCUAAUACCGCAUACCAUCAGAUGUGCCCAGAUGGGUGUAACUUGUUGGUGGGGUAACGGCUCACCAAGGCGACGAUCCCUAGCUGGUCUGAGAGGAUGACCGGCCACACUGGAACUGAGACACGGUGCAGACUCUGACGGGAGGCAGCGGUGGGGCAUAUUGGACAAGGGGCGCAAGCCUGAUGCGGCCAUGCCGCGUGUAUGAGGAAGGCCUUCGGGUUGUAAAGUACUUUCAGCGGGGAGGCGUUACCUACAGAAGAAGCACCGGCUAACUCCGUGCCAGCCGCCGCGGUAAUUC
rnacentral:rRNA from 1 species